ACCUCCACCUGCCCGGGUUUGUAAUCGGAGUUUGCUCUCCUAGGUGAACUGCUCACGCUAACGACCUCCACCUGCCCGGGUUUGUAAUCGGAGUUUGCUCUCCUAGGUGAACUGCUCACGCUAACGACCUCCACCUGGCCGGGUUUGUAAUCGGAGUUUGCUCUCCUAGGUGAACUGCUCACGCUAACGACCUCCACCUGGCCGGGUUUGUAAUCGGAGUUUGCUCUCCUAGGUGAACUGCUCACGCUAACGACCUCCACCUGGCCGGGUUUGUAAUCGGAGUUUGCUCUCCUAGGUGAACUGCUCACGCUAACGACCUCCACCUGGCCGGGUUUUUUAUUCGGAGUUUGCUCUCCUAGGUGAACUGCUCACGCUAACGACCUCCACCUGGCCGUGUUUGAUGUUCGGAGUUGUCCUUCUCCUAGGCGAAUUGCCUACCACGGCUAACGAGCUCCACCUGCCCGUGUUUGAUGUUCGGAGUUGUCCCUCUCCUAGGCGAAUUGCCUACCACGGCUAACGAGCUCCACCUGCCCGUGUUUGAUGUUCGGAGUUGUCCUUCUCCUAGGCGAAUUGCCUACCACGGCUAACGACCUCCACCUGCCCGUGUUUGUUGUUCGGAGUUGUCUCUCUCCUAGGCGAAUUGCCUACCACGGCUAACGACCUCCACCUGUCCGGGUUUUUAUUUGGAGUUUGCUCUCCUAGGUGUAUUGCCUAUGACGGCUCACGAGCCCAACCUGCCCGGGUUUUUAUUCGGAGUUUGCUCUCCUAGGUGUAUUGCCUAUGACGGCUCACGAGCCCAACCUGUCCGGGUUUUUAUUCGGAGUUUGCUCUCCUAGGUGUAUUGCCUAUGACGGCUCACGAGCCCAACCUGCCCGUGUUUGUUGUUCGGAGUUGUCCCUCUCCUAGGCAGAUUGCCUACCACGGCUAACGACCUCCACCUGCCCGUGUUUGUGGUCAGAGUUUUCCCUCUCCUAGGUGAAC